rnacentral:lncRNA from 12 species
CAGUGCUAAGGCCCCCUUACAGUCCAAAUUUAGCAGAAUUAUAUGUGCAGCAGCAUACUACUGUGCACUUGAGGCUACAAUGAAACCACUAACCUCAUUGCAUUUGGGAUGUCAGGUUGAAUUUGAACUGGGACAGACAAUAUGUCAAGGUGACCAAGCAGCAGAUGCAGGGAUUUUCCAGAAAACCUGCAAUGCCCCAGAUCCUCCUUCCUGACAGAGGGUCAUUCCUAUGGAAGCAAUGAUUUCCAAGCCUCACACAUCGAGUCAGAUGCAACCAGGCUGCCACGCUGUGCCCCCCAGGAGUACCAGGAUCUGUGUGGUAAAAAGGGGGCUGCAGCAGUGACAGGCAGCUCAGCUUGAGAUAAACUGUCAUUGCUGAGCAGCUUCCAUGAAAGCAUUUAACAGUGCAUGCCUUUCCUCUCCCAAGGAGUUCUGACACCUGAACUGAUGAGAUGGUAGCAAGCAAGUGACCCAAUAAAUCUGACAGCCAUCUGCACAGACA